AACUUUCAACAACGGAUCUCUUGGUUCUGGCAUCGAUGAAGAACGCAGCGAAAUGCGAUACGUAAUGUGAAUUGCAGAAUUCAGUGAAUCAUCGAAUCUUUGAACGCACAUUGCGCCCGCUGGUAUUCCAGCGGGCAUGCCUGUUCGAGCGUCAUUU
rnacentral:rRNA from 1 species